AAACGUUUUGACCCUUUUAGGCUGGCUAUCCGUCUGCUUCAUUCAACCAGAAUCUUACACAAUCUGGUGGGGUAGACUGAGUAGUUUAAUUGAAGUUCGGUUUAAGAACAUUGAUAACUUAAUUCACGUAACAAUUUGGUCCUUCGAGCCGGAUUCCAAAAUCUGUCCCUGUCUUCCUAAGGUAACACACCGAAAACCGUGCACGGGCGGGUCAUUGACUCGUGAAUCAAAGACCUGUCCCCUGAAAUUGGGGUUCCAUAACAGGCCAGUAAAUAUCUAAGGACGACAGGGAUGGUGACGGAAUCCAACCUACAUUGCUUUUCCCAGCCUACAAGACAAAGGUGAAUUACAGGAGAAGGUGAUUCACUCAAUCCAACCAGGAGACUGGGUGUGGAUCCAUUCCCUGAGGAGAAAAGACUGGAAGCAGCCCCGUUGGGAAGACCCAUACCAGGUUCUGUUAAACCACUGUCUUUGUCAUUAGAAAAGCUGAGAGAGUCACUUGGGUCCACGUUACCCACUGCAAGAAGGUAUGUACACAUAUGAGCACUGCUGAUCACACACGGAGUUAGGAGAAGAACCGAGUACCAACAGGGUCCGGGGGUCACCUCCUUAACGAAGAUUCCCUAUACCGACUGUUCAUCACUGUGGGUGCUCCUAGAGGUGUGAGUAUGGGGUGGUACCUAGCAGAGAGACUAAGGGCAGGAGAGGGUUGGCAGUUUUUGGGAAGCGUAGGGACUCUGAGCUGCAUCAUAGUUUUGGUAACCUUUCUGAUACAUUCAGAUGCACCACCUUCCGGUACUAAUCAUACAAUACCGUUGUCAUUGAGAAGAAGUAAACUAUAUAAUACACUGAUGAGUGACAUACAGAAUAAGGAAUCAAAGAAGAUCAAGAUGUAGAAUUUAAGGUAAACAUUAAACAAUCUCAUGGGAAAGCAAAUAACUUUACAGGGACUGGGUUGGCCAGAUUGAAGUACUCAGCCAACCCACCUCGGUUCACCUUAACUCCUGAUGAAUACCAGUGUUAUAGAUAUAAGAAUGGCACCAAGAACUUAGAUGAUUUUAAUGGCUGAAAGGUAAUCGUUAAUGUGACUGACUUAGGUUUGAAAGUACAGGAGCCAUUUUUUAACCUCACAGCACCUAUAACUGAUGUAGGGUGGGCUAGUACCCGCAAAGGACGCAUACAACAGAAGAUACCACAAAGGGUGGUUAGGAACUUGCGCCCGGGGUUGUUGGUCCAACCAGUUCGAGUUAGUCAUCAGAGGUCAGUUAUAGGAGGCUAAAGUAGGCACAGAAGGAGUUUUGACCAGGAUGGGAGUAGCUUUGUCUAGAUGGAUGCUAUUGGCAUCCCCAGGGAAGUUCCAGAUGAAUACAAAGCUAUGAAUCAAAUAGGUGAAGACUUUACCACUACGUUCUUUUGGUAGUUGAUAAUAAAUAAAAUGUGGAUUGGAUUAAUGACAUCAUUGGGUUAAUGCAACAGAGAUUCAUGAAUGAAACCGGGGAUGCAGGAAAGGGGUUCCCUGACCAAUUAUCCGCCACCUCCCUCAUGACCUGGUAAAAUAGACUGACUCUCGAUAUGUUAUUGGCAGAAGAGGGCGGUGUAGGUAGAAUGAUUAGGUUCAUUGCUGCACGUACAUUCCUGAUAACACAGCCCAUGUUUGGGAAAUGGAAAAGUGUUGUAAGAACUGUAUUAUGGGCUGCUUUCACCUGUAUGAGUGUGUUUGUGUUGUGUGGUUGUUGUUUGGUCCCGUGUGCGAGAGGUCUCAUUUCCAGGGUUCUGGAGAGAUCGAUAACGGAGCAGAUGGGGAGAUACGGACCGAUUCCAAGUUCAGAUCAAUGGGACGACAAAAACUUACCGCCGAGCCUGGUGGAGGAUUCAUUCAAUUAUGAGGAGCCCAUGUUAGAGGAGACCAUCUUUAGAGUUUAGGAAGACUGUUUCUUUAAGUAAAGGUCAUAACAAAAAUCCUGACCCGAAGUGUUAUGAUUGGAGAUAGGCUUAGAACAGUCAUCGAUAAGUAUGUGUUGACAGUAUAUGCAUUUGUUUUCCUUGAUAUUCUGAAUUACUUUGAUUUCGUGACAGUAUAUGCAUUUGUUUUCUUUGAUGUUCUGAAUUAGUUUGAUUUUGUGUGACAUUUCUGAAUUAGUUUGAUUUUGUGUAACAUUACCAAAUUAGUUAGAUUUUGUGUGACAUUUCUAAAUCCAAUAAAAAUAGAUGUGUUAUAGUGUAUGUGAAAUAUUUAGUCAAUCGGGUGGAUUGUAAUGGAAAUUAUAUGAUUAAAGGUUUGACUAAAUGAUUUCACUCAGAAACCUUAUAACCUGUUGAAAUGUAUUCGAAAUAAGGCUAUAAUUAUGGGUUAAAAACUCUAUUCCAAUACUGUGUGUGAGAAAGACACUGUAACCACUUCAAAAAAUUAGCAGGGCAGAGUUGAUAAGACAACCUUGGGAAAGGAACAGGAGAAGAGGCCUCCCUAAGUUAGGGAGAGAAACAACGGCCUGGGAACAGUUAGGCUGGCAAAAGAUAAGGAGACAGGUGGUCUGGGUACUGUGGAAAAAUACAGCCGCCCAAAGCUGGGUGGAGUUCUCUACUGGUGUGUGUGUGUGUGUGUGUGUGUGUGUGUGUGUGUGUGUGUGUGUGUGUGUGUGUGUGUGUGUGUGUGUGUGUGUGUGUGUGUGUGUUAAUAUAAAAGGCUUUGUACAUUGUAAGGAUUUUCAGAGCUCUCAUAAAUAAACGUUUUGAC
rnacentral:lncRNA from 1 species